rnacentral:rRNA from 1 species
CCUACGGGAGGCAGCAGUGGGGAAUUUUCCGCAAUGGGCGAAAGCCUGACGGAGCAACGCCGCGUGAGGGAUGAAGGCCUCUGGGCUGUAAACCUCUUUUAUCAAGGAAGAAGAUCUGACGGUACUUGAUGAAUAAGCCACGGCUAAUUCCGUGCCAGCAGCCGCGGUAAUACGGGAGUGGCAAGCGUUAUCCGGAAUUAUUGGGCGUAAAGCGUCCGCAGGCGGUCUUGUAAGUCUGUCGUUAAAGCGUGGAGCUCAACUCCAUUUCGGCGGUGGAAACUACAAGACUAGAGUGUGGUAGGGGCAGAGGGAAUUCCCGGUGUAGCGGUGAAAUGCGUAGAUAUCGGGAAGAACACCAGUGGCGAAGGCGCUCUGCUGGGCCAUAACUGACGCUCAUGGACGAAAGCUAGGGGAGCGAAAGGGAUUAGAUACCCCUGUAGUCCUAGCCGUAAACGAUGAACACUAGGUGUCGGGGGAAUCGACCCCCUCGGUGUCGUAGCUAACGCGUUAAGUGUUCCGCCUGGGGAGUACGCACGCAGUGUGAACUACAAGAAGUUAGACGGCGUGAGACGUGCCGACGGACGACGACGAGGGAGUAGG